rnacentral:rRNA from 1 species
GAUGAACGCUGGCGGCGUGCCUAAUACAUGCAAGUCGAGCGAACAGACGAGGAGCUUGCUCCUCUGACGUUAGCGGCGGACGGGUGAGUAACACGUGGAUAACCUACCUAUAAGACUGGGAUAACUUCGGGAAACCGGAGCUAAUACCGGAUAACAUGUUGAACCGCAUGGUUCAACAGUGAAAGACGGUCUUGCUGUCACUUAUAGAUGGAUCCGCGCCGCAUUAGCUAGUUGGUAAGGUAACGGCUUACCAAGGCAACGAUGCGUAGCCGACCUGAGAGGGUGAUCGGCCACACUGGAACUGAGACACGGUCCAGACUCCUACGGGAGGCAGCAGUAGGGAAUCUUCCGCAAUGGGCGAAAGCCUGACGGAGCAACGCCGCGUGAGUGAUGAAGGUCUUCGGAUCGUAAAACUCUGUUAUUAGGGAAGAACAAAUGUGUAAGUAACUAUGCACAUCUUGACGGUACCUAAUCAGAAAGCCACGGCUAACUACGUG